rnacentral:rRNA from 1 species
CCAAUAGCGUAUAUUAAAGUUGUUGCAGUUAAAAAGCUCGUAGUUGAAUUUCGGGAUCAAUUUAUUGGUCGUGCAAUCGUACGUACUGGUAUUAUUGAUUCCUACCUUCUGACGAACCAUGAUGUCAUUAAUUUGGUGUCUUGGGGAAUCAGGACUGUUACUUUGAAAAAAUUAGAGUGUUUAAAGCAGGCUCACGCUUGAAUACAUUAGCAUGGAAUAACGAAAUAGGACGUUUGAUUCUAUUUUGUUGGUUUCUAGGAUCGACGUAAUGAUUAAUAGGGAUAGUUGGGGGCAUUAGUAUUCAAUUGUCAGAGGUGAAAUUCUUGGAUUUAUUGAAGACUAACUACUGCGAAAGCAUUUGCCAAGGAUGUUUUCAUUAAUCAAGAACGAAAGUUAGGGGAUCGAAGACGAUCAGAUACCGUCGUAGUCUUAACCAUAAACUAUGCCGACUAGGGAUCGGAUGAUGUUAAUUUUUUAAUGACUCAUUCGGCGCCUUACA